GGGGUGGUGGCGCAGUUGGCUAGCGCGUAAGUCUCAUAAUCCUGAGGUCGAGAGUUCGAGCCUCUCUCACCCCA
rnacentral:tRNA from 2 species